rnacentral:rRNA from 1 species
CCCUUAGAUGUUCUGGGCCGCACGCGCGCUACACUGAUGAAGGCAACGAGUUUAUCAACCUGCACCGGAAGGUGUGGGUAAUCUUUUGAAACUUCAUCGUGCUGGGGAUAGAUCUUUGCAAUUUUCGAUCUUAAACGAGGAAUUCCUAGUAAGCGCAAGUCAUCAGCUUGCGUUGAUUACGUCCCUGCCCUUUGUACACACCGCCCGUCGUUACUACCGAUUGAAUGGUUCGGUGAAGCGUUCGGACCGUGGCCUUUGGACGGUUCGCCGUCUGUUGGCUGCGGGAAGUUCGUUAAACCUUAUCAUUUAGAGGAAGGAGAAGUCGUAACA